AUGGCCAAAUGCGGCAAGAUCCAUAGCAUCGUCCGCCUCCAGCAGACGCUAAGGCGGUGGCGGUCCCGUGCCGCAGCGGCGCCAACGGCGGCGCCGGCGCCGGUGCCGUCGGGGCACGUCGCGGUGUGCGUGGGCGGCGCGUCGCGGCGGUUCUUGGUGCGCGCGGCGCACCUCAACCACCCCGUGUUCCGGGAGCUGCUCCUGCAGUCGGAGGAGGAGUACGGCUUCCCGUCCACCCCCGGCCCCGUCGCGCUCCCCUGCUGCGACGAGGACCGCUUCCUCGACGUCCUCCGCUGCGUGUCCUCCGAGGACCGCCUCCUCCGCCGCAGCCGCUCGGUCUGCUGCCGCAUGCCGGUCGUCACCAGCCGCGAAGUCGCGGCGCGGCCGCUGCUGCAGGGGAUGGCGGUGGAGAAGCUCGUGUGGUGA
rnacentral:rRNA from 1 species